rnacentral:rRNA from 1 species
GCAUAUCAAUAAGCGGAGGAAAAGAAACCAACAGGGAUUGCCCUAGUAACGGCGAGUGAAGCGGCAACAGCUCAAAUUUGAAAUCUGGGCCCUUGGGUCCGAAUUGUAAUUUGUAGAGGAUGAUUUUGGUGCGGUAUCUUCCGAGUUCCUUGGAACAGGACGCCUUAGAGGGUGAGAGCCCCGUACGGUUGAAUGCCUAGCCUCUGUAAAUCUCCUUCGACGAGUCGAGUAGUUUGGGAAUGCUGCUCUAAAUGGGAGGUAAAUUUCUUCUAAAGCUAAAUACUGGCCAGAGACCGAUAGCGCACAAGUAGAGUGAUCGAAAGAUGAAAAGCACUUUGAAAAGAGGGUUAAAUAGCACGUGAAAUUGUUGAAAGGGAAGGAUUUAUGACCAGACUUUUUCUGGGCGGAUCAUCCGGUGUUCUCACCGGUGCACUUUGCCCAGUUUAGGCCAGCAUCGAUUUUCGGAGAGGGAUAAAAGCUUUGGGAAUGUGGCUCCUCCGGGAGUGUUAUAGCCCAUUGUAUAAUACCUUUCUGGGGAUCGAGGUACGCGCUUCUGCAAGGAUGCUGGCGUAAUGGUUAUCAAUCACCCGUCUUGAAACACGGACCAAGGAGUCGAACAUUUGUGCAAGUGUUUGGGUGUUAAACCCUCACGCGUAAUGAAAGUGAACGGAGGUGAGAGCCCUUACGGGUGCAUCAUCGACCGAUCCUGAAGUUUUCGGAUGGAUUUGAGUAAGAGCAUAACUGUUCGGACCCGAAAGAUGGUGAACUAUGCGUGGAUAGGGUGAAGCCAGAGGAAACUCUGGUGGAGGCUCGCAGCGGUUCUGACGUGCAAAUCGAUCGUCAAAUCUGCGCAUGGGGGCGAAAGACUAAUCGAACCAUCUAGUAGCUGGGUUACCGCCGA